rnacentral:misc_RNA from 1 species
UACGUAGGGGGCAAGCGUUGUCCGGAAUUAUUGGGCGUAAAGCGCGCGCAGGCGGUGAUUUAAGUUUGGUGUUUAAGCCCAGGGCUCAACCCUGGUACGCACUGAAAACUGGAUGACUUGAGUGCAGAAGAGGAGAGUGGAAUUCCACGUGUAGCGGUGAAAUGCGUAGAUAUGUGGAGGAACACCAGUGGCGAAGGCGACUCUCUGGUCUGUAACUGACGCUGAGGCGCGAAAGCGUGGGGAGCAAACAGG